AUUGAACGCUGGCGGCAUGCCUUACACAUGCAAGUCGAACGGCAGCGGGCCCUUCGGGGUGCCGGCGGUUGGCGAACGGUUGGGUAAUUCAUGGGAACGUACCCGGGAGGGGGGGAUAACCGGCCAAAAGGCUGGCUAAUCCCGCAUGAACUCGGAAGGGCAAAGCGGGGGACCUUCGGGCCUCGCGCCCUCGGAGCGGCCCAUGUCCGAUUAGGCUAGUUGGUGGGGUAAAGGCCCACCAAGGCGACGAUCGGUAGCGGGUCUGAGAGGACGAUCCGCCACACUGGGACUGAGACACGGCCCAGACUCCUACGGGAGGCAGCAGUGGGGAAUCUUGGACAAUGGGCGCAAGCCUGAUCCAGCAAUGCCGCGUGGGUGAAGAAGGCCUUCGGGUUGUAAAGCCCUUUCGGCGGGGAAGAAAUCGGUCAGGCGAAUAGUCUGGCCGGAUGACGGUACCCGCAGAAGAAGCACCGGCUAACUACGUG
rnacentral:rRNA from 1 species